GAUGAACGCUGACAGAAUGCUUAACACAUGCAAGUCUUUGGCGAAGCUGUGCUUGCACAGCCUAGCCAAGGCGGACGGGUGAGUAACGCGUAAGGAACUUGCCCUGCAGUCAGGGAUAACAGACGGAAACGACUGAUAAGACCUGGUAAAGUCAGGCGGACUCAUGUCCAGCCUGAUGAAAAGAGAUGCUGCAGGAGAGCCUUGCGUCCUAUUAGCUUGUUGGUGGGGUAACGGCCCACCAAGGCGAGGAUAGGUAGCCGGCCUGAGAGGGUGGACGGCCACAAGGGGACUGAGAUACGGCCCUUACUCCUACGGGAGGCAGCAGUGGGGAAUAUUGGACAAUGGGGGCAACCCUGAUCCAGCAAUUCUGUGUGCACGAUGAAGGUUUUCGGAUUGUAAAGUGCUUUCAGCAGGGAAGAAAAAAAUGACGGUACCUGCAGAAGAAGCGACGGCUAAAUACGUG
rnacentral:rRNA from 1 species